UCGUCGUCAUAUAUGAGGAGGCGAUAUUCGGAUAUUUGAUCAGUUUGGAGUCCGUAAUUCAUUUUAGUUAAAUUAUUUCUUCACUUUGUUUUUUUUGAAUUCCGAGUUAUUCCUCAACUUUUACACUAUUCAACAUACGAAAUGUGCAAAUUUGGUGUAUUCUCUUUAAUAUUGUUAGUAGCUACGCUACAAACUUCGUUCGGAUUAAAAGAAGGCGAAUGUGAAGUAUGUGUAAAAACUGUAGAUAAGUUUGCAGCCACGUUAUCAGAUGAUGUGAAAAAAGACCCUAAAAAAAUUGAAUUAGAAUUUAAGAAAUUUUGUAAAGGAAGCAAGAAUAAGGAGAAUCGAUUUUGCUAUUACUUGGGAGGGUUAGAAGAAUCGGCAACCGGUAUAUUGGGUGAACUCUCGAAACCUCUGAGCUGGUCCAUGCCUUCUGAUAAAAUAUGUGAGAAACUUAGGAAAAAAGAUGCUCAGAUUUGCGAUCUUCGUUUCGAUAAGCAAAUUGACUUAAACAAUGUAGACCUUAAGAAACUUAAAGUAAGAGAUUUAAAGAAGAUUUUAAACGACUGGGACGAGGUUUGCGACGGUUGUAUCGAAAAGACGGAUUUCAUUAAGAGAAUAGAAGAAUUAAAACCCAAGUACAUGGGAAGAUCUGAUUUGUAAUAAAACUCAAUUAAUAGGUAAUAGAUCUAGGUAUGUAAACAUUAUCUACUUUUUUAGGUAUUUUUUGGACUUGUGAUACACUGCAGUGUUUUGUCGAUGAGAGUUCAAUUGAAUAAGUUAUUGAUGUGAAUGAUUGUACUCAUGGAAGUCGUAUGCAUUUACAGUAGAAUAAAUUAUCUGUAAUUAAGUAAAUAUUUUUUCCACA